rnacentral:misc_RNA from 1 species
UCUCAGGUAGACCACUUCCAU